rnacentral:rRNA from 1 species
UUGCGCACCACGCACGCACGACUUCCGCCCGCUCGCCCCGCAAAAAAAAGAAGGGACUUCCGCCCGUUCCUCCUCAUCCACGCCCGCACGCCAGCCGUUCACCACAGCACGGCCGGGCCGCCCAUCCUCCCGCCGCCUCCCGCCGUUCGCCGCCCGCAUCAUCCUCCGCCCCCGGUCCAAUCAUCCUCCGCUCAGCUUGGCCUCCCCCCAUCCUCCCGUCGUUCGCUAGCCGCCCUCCCGCCGUUCGCCGCCUACCGCGCCAUACGCUGUUCGCUAGAGAUGCGGGCGGGCGGUUGGGCUGGCGAGCGGUGGCAGGUUCGUCGCGCGACGGGUCGCCUGGGAUGCCAGCCGAUGGAUGCGGGUCAAGCCGACUCGGGCGGCGGCGCAUCUUCGGGAGAGGAGAGGGGAAGAGAAGGAGAGUCCUGGCGGCGACUGAGGAAGUGCUCGCCGGCGAGCGGGCUCCGACGGCCGCCUGGCGCGUGGGGUUGGAUGGGGACGCUUCCCGGCGGCCGCGGCCGUCCUCGCGACACCACCUACCCGAAAGCAUCGCCGUUCCCGGCCGCCAGCCGACGCGACGUCGCCUGCCCCUCCUACCCACGCGACGAUGUCGCUCCCCGCCUCCUCCCCGCGCGACACCACCUUCCCCAAGAGUGCCCACCCCGUCGUCCUCCUCAGUGCCUCCCUCUCGCCCGCCCGCAACGCCUGACACACGCAUGGCCCACACUGGAGCACGCCGCCCCUCGCUGCCCGGUUUUCUUAUUUUCCGUCGCACCGUGCGAAAUCUGCCCCGUGCUCGGUCUGGAUCUACAUAAGCGGUUGAGAGAGAGAGCACAAGGAAGACGCACACUGUGGAUUGUGGAAGAGGAAGAGGAAAUGUUGUUGGAUCUAAGCACCUGUGGGAGGAGCAUAAGCAUAAGGAGGCAUCCAUGAGACAAGAUUUUUUUAAUUCGUAUUUCUAUGUCUGCCUGAUGACAUUAGUUAACUGGUAAUAGUAAGUCAGUACCAUACAUCACUGAUGAAAUAGUUGUUUUUUCCCAUUUAGCAAAGAAAUUAUGAUCUGUUCCUCUACCAAUAAUUGUAAAUUAGUCAUGACACCCAGUCUAGCAUCUGUCAUGUUGUUUGAUUUGUCUCUCUAUAUAUAUAUGUUCUCAUGAGUGGUCAUCCUUUUACAUGACGAUUUCCAAAAUACGAAUACACUGAAAGUUAAUUUGAUUUUUCAUAAAUGUGUCCAAUUUUGGAUGUAUAAAUUAAUUUUUAAUUUGGCAUCCCAUUCCAUGCCAAGAAUCAAAUGACAAGCUGAAUUUGUUCCUCUGUAAUGGGGUUCAGUAGCUUCUCUCUCCUGAAUUAUUCUUGUUGUAAUUUCAUGGUUAUGCAAUUAUCAAUCUUCUCUUACUCAUUUCACGUGUCCAUAGUUAGCCAGGCAACUGAAGGUGGGUCAUGUAUUUUAGCACAGGUUCGAUGUGGCGGUUGUCAACUUAUUCCAACUGUGAAGAAUGGUAGUUGUUGCCGGAUGAAUUUCUAGUCUCGCAUCUCCUUAUUUCCGGUCUUGCACCAUGGACGCCCUAAAUGGUGCUAACGCGUGCUUCUUCGGAGGAGGGCCAUGUGAUGGUCAGACCGGCAGACAUAGCCAGGUAAGACCAAAUAAGUGCUAGAUACUGUCAUGAGAUAAAUUUUGAUGGAUAGGAUUUUAAUAAGUUAGCGGUGUAGGUCGAGAUGAUGAAGAGAUUGGUAUGCACAAUGUGUAGACAGAAUAUGAUACAUUUACAUUGACAGGCGUAGGCUCGGCUGGAGCGCUUUAGUCUUUUUAUUGAUUAAGCUUAACACUUCUGCUCAUUAAUUAUUACUUUGUAUUCAUCAAAAUUAUUUAUUUUGUACUAUACUGUAGCAUUUCGACGGACACAAACAGAGACGGCCAUGGUGCUAGCUGAUAGCACUUGCUAACUUAAAAAGUUUGCAUACCUUUUAUCGAAUUAUAUGAGAGUUUCUUGCCAACUAUUGAGCCUACCAGUUUUAGAUCUAUGUCACUAAGGCCACUACUCAACUUCAGGUUGGUACUUUGCGGUAGAGUAUACCUCCAUAAUUCUCCAUCGAAGAUACUAAUGUUUAUUGAUGAUGAUUUGUUUCAGGAUAUGCGGUACAAGGGAUUCGAGGCAGAUUGAGGAAGGAGCCGGAGCAGGUGGUGGAUUAAGGAAGGAGCUGGAGUAGAGACGGAUUAGAGCUGCUUAAGUGCAGGAUGGAAGGGAACUUAAGUGCAUGUUUUCGGAUUGUAUAUGAACUAAGUUCCCGCUGAAAAAUGGUGACCGCGUUUAGAGCUGGCAUUGGUGCUUGGUCAGACAUUGUGUCUUUGUAACUACACUAAGUUCCCUGGUUUCUGCUUAAAAAUGUUUACAAGAUGACAUUUCUAAAUAUGACCUAGAAGCCCUCAAACCAGAUCAAGCUCGGUACAUUGGAAUCAAAAGAAUGACAAGGUUCUAACUGUGUUCACAUGAUUUUGAACAGGCCCAUGGAGAUAAGCCCUAAUGUGCACCCAAGGUUCAGGGAGGUGAUCCAGGUUUCCAAGAAGGUUACAAGGUUAGUUGCUUGUGCAAUUCAGUUCAAAUGUAGCUUGUUGCUGGAAGGAGUAGAGUUUGAUUAGAUCGGAUCAGGAUUAUUUUGUAUUUUGGUAGUGGUUAACUAUGGGAUAUGCACCAGCCAUUUUUCUAUGCAUAUUUUUCUGUCCAUGUAUGUUGCAUCCUUUUGACUUAUGUAUGAUGUGUUCAACGAUGUCAUUGGUGACUCAUGUGAAGUUGCUUUGUUUGAUUCAAGUGUAAUUGGACCGUGGCAGCCAUGGAAGAUAUAUGCAUGAAGCCAUGAGUAGUGAGCAGCUUACCUAUUUAUUAUUGUUGGCCUUUUCAGUUGGAUUUAGUAUAGCUGCCUCUCAGAUGAUGAACAGAGACUAACAUUAUAUCUUUAUUCUUGCAUCUUACACCCUCAGCUUGAGAAAAACAAACCUUAUCAUUUUCAUUUGUAGAAUUAAUAUCAUUAUUUAAGGGAUCAGUUGGCACUGAUGCCUAAAAUGUGUUGUUUUUUCGCAUGCUUAAUUGUACACAGCUAGAUAGACAUGCGUAAGUAUUUAGGUUGAUGCACAAGUCAAUUUACAGUAGGAUUAUGAGGGCAAUCAACUGAGCUCCAACAACCAUCAAACUGAAUACUUAUGUUUGUUGAGUUUAUGUUAAUAAUCAUACUUGAGACCUUAGCAAAGCAAUCUGUAGAGCUUGUAGUGAAAGCAAGGCUUAUCAUUCAGGUUACUUGUAAUGACCUGUGACAGAAAAGCAAUCUAUAGAAAUUCUGUUUGCGUGAUCCCUAUGCCUUCUCUAUAUGGUGUUCCAUCUAGGUUAACUGUUGUGAUGGAACCUUUCAAGGAUGGUUUAGUCUGGUCGAUCUUAUCAAUGUACGAGGGAAAGUAUGCAUUCCAGAUCAAUGUAGAUGUCAAGCUGGAAUAAAAACAUUCAAUAGCUUCUCAGUAUGGACAUUGUUCUAAUGAUUACAUUACUUCCCCAUGGUUUUAGCUUGUCACAGAUGGAGAAUCAUCAUCCAGCUACAUCUCCCUUAGAAUCAGGGAAACGUUCUCCAUUUAAAGACCAAACAUGCAUAAUCUAUUUAGAGUUUCAGUUUGUUUUUUGUCUGACAUCUCUGUUGCCUCUGUUAUAUUACUACAUUGCUAUUAAAACAAGGAAGAAUGGCCUGAUGUUGCCUUUGAAUCUGAUUGUCGGGUACUGGUGGAGAUGUGGAACUCAAAAAAACAUAAUAGAUAGAGAUUAUCGGCUUCCUGGCAGAAAUUGAGUUGAGCCAAGCUUUUUGUUCUUUUACUCUGUCUUUUCUUCUUAGAGAGGUUAAUUUUUAACACACCUAUGUACAAACCUGCCCUGCAGGUUAGGGACAGGAGGCUAUGUCGUAAUUGUAAUGCUAGCCCUUCAGAAUAAAGCUAGCUCCUUUGAUUGUCAAAAGUGGCCCCUUAAAGUUGUACACUUCAGAAUAUUGGUUCAAUGCCAUUAAUUUUUUUAUGUGAGAUAUUUGUUUUGUAUUUUAGUAGUCGUUCAAGUGUGAGUUAUGUUUAUUUGUAACACGUAAUUGACUAUCAGAAUUUCAUGAUACCUUGUCAAGGCCAUUUGCUGGUUUAUAUAAGCAUUUGGUUAGCAACC